CCACUUAGACAUUAUGUCUACAUUGCUGAUGAUUAUUUAUGAAAAAUCUAAAUGUGAAGAUAUUUUGUGAAAGCACCAAUUGUCAACCUUAUAAUAUCGUCGCAAUAUCAACAUCUAUGUCUUUGGU